CCUCCGGGAGGCAGCAGUGGGGAAUAUUGCACAAUGGGCGCAAGCCUGAUGCAGCAACGCCGCGUGAGGGACGACGGCAUUCGGGUUGUAAACCUCUUUUAGCAGUGAAGAAGCGAAAGUGACGGUACCUGCAGAAAAAGCACCCGCUAACUACGUGCUAGCAGCCGCGGUAAUACGUAGGGUGCGACCGUUAUCCGGAAUUAUUGGGCGUAAAGAGCUCGUAGGCGGUCUGUUGUGUAUGCUGUGAAAACCCGAGGCUCAACCUCGGGCCUGCAGUGGGUACGGGCAGACUAGAGUGCGGUAGGGGAGAUUGGAAUUCCUGGUGUAGCGGUGGAAUGCGCAGAUAUCAGGAGGAACACCGAUGGCGAAGGCAGAUCUUUGGGCCGUAACUGACGCUGAGGAGCGAAAGCGUGGGGAGCGACCACCAUUUGAUACCCUCGUAGUCCACCCCGUAAACGUUCUGAACGUCGAUGUAGGGACCAUUCCACGGUUUCUGUGUCGCAGCUAACGCAUUAAGUUCCCCGCCUGG
rnacentral:rRNA from 1 species